AGAUAGUGUAAGAGUAUAGAUAGUGUAAGAGUAUAGAUAGUAUAAUAGUGUAAGAGUACAGAUAGCGUAAGAUUAUAGAUAGUAUAUAGUGUAAGAGUACAGAUAGUGUAAGAGUAUAGAUAGUAUAUAGUGUAAGAGUACAGAUAGUGUAAGAGUAUAGAUUAUGUAAGAGUACAGAUAGUGUAAGAGUACAGAUAGUGUAAGAUUUAAGAGUAUAUUUACUGUAUAAUGUAAGAGUAUAAUUAAGAGUGUGUGAUUGAGACCAAGCCCUUAUAUUAACACUGUACAUCUGUUAGUGAUUGAAACAGCUGGCUAA
ensembl:lncRNA